GCCAGUGUGGUGUAGUGGUCUGAGCAUUGGACUGCAACUCUGGAGACCAGGGUUCAAAUUCCAACUUGGCCA